rnacentral:rRNA from 1 species
GUCCACGCUGUAAACGAUGACGACUAGGUGUGGGGUGGUUCAGUCCAUUCCGUGCCGCAGCUAACGCAUUAAGUCGUCCGCCUGGGGAGUACGGCCGCAAGGUUGAAACUCAAAGGAAUUGACGGGGGCCCGCACAAGCGGUGGAGCAUGUGGUUCAAUUCGAUGCAGAGCGAAGAACCUUACCUGGGCUUGACAUGCAGGAAGUAGGACUCCGAAAGGGGGACGACCUGUUGAGUCAGGAGCCUGCACAGGUGGUGCAUGGCUGUCGU